GAUGAACGCUAGCUACAGGCUUAACACAUGCAAGUCGAGGGGAAACGGCAUCGAAAGCUUGCUUUUGAUGGGCGUCGACCGGCGCACGGGUGAGUAACGCGUAUCCAACCUGCCCAUCACUUGGGAAUAACCUUGCGAAAGUAAGACUAAUGCCCAAUGACAUCCCACGAAGGCAUCCGAAUGGGAUUAAAGAUUUAUCGGUGAUGGAUGGGGAUGCGUCUGAUUAGCUUGUUGGCGGGGUGACGGCCCACCAAGGCAACGAUCAGUAGGGGUUCUGAGAGGAAGGUCCCCCACAUUGGAACUGAGACACGGUCCAAACUCCUACGGGAGGCAGCAGUGAGGAAUAUUGGGCAAUGGGCGAGAGCCUGAACCAGUCAAGUAGCGUGCAGGAGGACGGCCCUAUGGGUUGUAAACUGCUUUUAUAAGGGAAUAAAGUGGGUCACGUGUGACUUUUUGCAUGUACCUUAUGAAUAAGGACCGGCUAAUUCCGUG
rnacentral:rRNA from 1 species